UGGAAUGAUCUUCCCAAGAUUUUCCGUGGCUGCCUCCUUCUCAUCACUCAGCUUUAAACCUGUAUCAUCUUCUCAGGGAGGGACAGAAGAUGCUGUUGGAGGCCCUGCCUGUAUGCCCCUUCACAGGGUGUGCAUCCAUCCCCCAGGUGCUGGGGGUGUUGGUUGCUUCUGGCUCAGGCCUUCGUCCUUUCGUGUGGAAUUGCCCUUGGCUUUCAGGAGCCUCCUCACCUGGCACUGGUCCAGGAGAUAAUGGCAGUAACUUACACCUCCCCACCCAGGGGAAGGCCUUGGACAAAGGCUGAGUGAUGAAAGGAUUAGCAGCCUUCACCUCUGAUGGCUCAGAUGGCAAAAAUUUCGCCUGCGAUGAAGGAAACCCCAGUUCGCUCCCUGGGUUGGGAAGAUCCCCUGGAUGAAGGGAAUGGCAACCCACUCCAGUAUUCUUACCUGGAGAAUCCCAUGGACAGAGGACCAGGCUCCUCUGUCCUCUGUCCGCAGGGUCACAAAGAGGUGGACACAACUGAGCGACUAACACAUGACAUGACGCCUCUGAGUGGAGCAAUUCAUGAUUCAGGGCUUCCCAUGGGAUCAAGCUGAGACUAACUUCUCCUAAAGCCAUAUCUUUACUGAACUUCAUCCCCUGCUGUCUCCUACUUUUUCCAUUCCCUAAAAGGUUUCUCCUUAAGAUCUUUUAAGUAAGGAGUCCCACCUCAGAUUCCGUUCACAGAGAAAAUGAUUCAAGACAGCUAGUGAGAGGAAUGGUCCUAGGAAGCCAACUGGAUGUAGGUUUGGCGUUGGAGUGCUUAUCCACUAGAUGGCAAUGAGAACCCCAUCAUCGGUAGUGAGUGAACUGUCGUUACUGCUUGGCUUGCUGUCGUGGUGCCAUUGCUAAGGUUUUCACCUGCAGAGAACCAGGACAAAAUAAAGGAAGAAGGAGCUGUAUUGAAUUCUGCAAUGGCUCUGGUACCAGAAAUUGCACCAACCAGAAUGCCGGAGGACCUGCAACCAGAUGGAAUGACAAUAACAUGAGAAACAACUGGCUCUGAGUGGAGGUUGCAUUUGGCUGAUUGGAGCUGCCCAAGUCAGAGAUGAAGCCUCCUUCCACAGUCUACAGAGGCAGCUGUCCAGCCAUGGACUACACUUGCCAGCCUUUCUUGCAACUCGAUAGGGCCAUGUGAAUAUUUCUCCCUGAGAACAAUUGAGAUGUAUUCUCUCAAGACCAAGAUUAAGAAUCUUUCUCCAUUUGUUUUUUCCCUAUGCUCCUCCUGCGUGUAAAGGGUGAAAACCCUGGGAAGAGGAGGCCACAGAUAAAAGGAGGCUGAGUUCCUGAGUCACCAUGUGGAAGCUGCCGCCAGUCAGGAUUGUUAAAUGACUGGGGUCACAGUCGCAACAGCUGCAUUACUCUAAUAUCCUCUCUCUGUGAAUUCUAAUGGGAUUCCUGACAUACUGGGAAGUGGGGCUGGAUGCUUCUGAAAGCUCCUUCUGAUACACAUUCUCUGGCACAUUUCUUCUGAAAUUUAUAAACUAUUGUACUUGAAAGUUAUGUUGUCAAAUAGGAUCAUUUAAUUAUCCUGUAGUAAAUAUUGCAGAGCUUAAAACCACUGCGUCAGAAGAACUGGUCUCUAGCUCUGGCUCUUCUACAAGCCUGUUAUAGAGUCUGGAAAAUAUAACUUUACUUCUCUGAGCCUCAGUUUCAUCAACUGUAAAAUACAAAUAAAAUGCAGUGUGAACGAGGAGAGACAAUAUGACCUCUAAAUUCCUUUCAAAUAAAAUCUCUUCGAGAAAUGUACAGCAACAGCUCUUUACAGGCAGAGAGAAGUGGGAGCACAGAACUUUAGUGCAUUAAUGAAUAUUGCAC
ensembl:lncRNA